UGGGGAAUUUUGGACAAUGGGCGAAAGCCUGAUCCAGCAAUGCCGCGUGUGUGAAGAAGGCCUUCGGGUUGUAAAGCACUUUUGUCCGGAAAGAAAUCCUCUGGGUUAAUACCUCGGGGGGAUGACGGUACCGGAAGAAUAAGCACCGGCUAACUACGUGCCAGCAGCCGCGGUAAUACGUAGGGUGCAAGCGUUAAUCGGAAUUACUGGGCGUAAAGCGUGCGCAGGCGGUUUUGUAAGACGGAUGUGAAAUCCCCGGGCUUAACCUGGGAACUGCAUCGUGAGCUGCAAGGCUAGAGUAUGGCAGAGGGGGGUAGAAUUCCACGUGUAGCAGUGAAAUGCGUAGAGAUGUGGAGGAAUACCGAUGGCGAGCAGCANG
rnacentral:rRNA from 1 species